rnacentral:rRNA from 1 species
AUUGAACGCUGGCGGCAGGCCUAACACAUGCAAGUCGAGCGGAUGAAGGGAGCUUGCUCCUGGAUUCAGCGGCGGACGGGUGAGUAAUGCCUAGGAAUCUGCCUGGUAGUGGGGGAUAACGUCCGGAAACGGGCGCUAAUACCGCAUACGUCCUGAGGGAGAAAGUGGGGGAUCUUCGGACCUCACGCUAUCAGAUGAGCCUAGGUCGGAUUAGCUAGUUGGUGGGGUAAAGGCCUACCAAGGCGACGAUCCGUAACUGGCCUGAGAGGAUGAUCAGUCACACUGGAACUGAGACACGGUCCAGACUCCUACGGGAGGCAGCAGUGGGGAAUAUUGGACAAUGGGCGAAAGCCUGAUCCAGCCAUGCCGCGUGUGUGAAGAAGGUCUUCGGAUUGUAAAGCACUUUAAGUUGGGAGGGAGGGCAGUAAGUUAAUACCUUGCUGUUUUGACGUUACCAACAGAAUAAGCACCGGCUAACUUCGU